rnacentral:lncRNA from 1 species
UGCAGAUCUCAGAGAAAGACAGUGCACAGCAAUGGGGCCAAAGGGGACGAAGCACUCAAAGCACUUUGAGUCACACUUCUCCUGGAGAACUAGAGGGGGAAAGGCGAUAAAUAAGACUGCGGCCCAAAGUAAAUGAUAAGCAUUGCUAUUUGGAGGCUACACAUUCGCUGAGGUAAGAAAGACAAGCGACACUGCCAAGAAAGAAAUGAUGAAACAUGGCGUCUACCGAACAGGAUGGCCAUGACGAAGGAAUAAGUAUCUGCAAGACACCUAAAACAGUGUCUGACAUCUAGAAAGUGACAUGAGUAUUCGUAAAAAAGUAGCAAUAGCCAAUUUACUGCUUUAAAUUGAUCGAAGCAGAAUAGAGAAUCACAGACUCUCCUAAACAGUGAGGACGACUGCAGCCGGUUAAACCUUGGUUUUGGCUGCCCAGGGACC